GCCACUGAGUGCUGGACAUGUCCACUCAAACAUAAGCACACUGAAAUCCAGGCUGCUUCGUUCCUCUGUCCAUUCUUAGGCUUGCUCACUGCCCUGUUGCCCCGGCCCACAACCCCUUCCCAUCCCUGCUAAUUCUCAGCUGUCCAGAGUGAUAAAAGAGGAAGCAAUAAACAGCGCACAGAUUCCACUUCUGACCAGAGGCAGGAUUAUUGGGGAAGCCAGAGCCUAGUGAUUCAGGCUCCCUGGGAAACAUCAUGCAGUGACCAGGGAGCAGCUGCCAGGAAGAGCAGGCAGGAGCCUCGUGUGAUGGCCGGGGCUGCCAGAGGCUGACCAGGCAUGGCCCACACUCUGUGCCUGGCACCUUGCUUCAUCUUGCUGAUGCACUGCACUUCCAUCUGGCCUCAUCUCACCCCCACAUCUUCACACUGCAACCGAAUGCCUCAGUGUGGCUGGGCGGGCUGCUCCCAGGCAAUGGGGGCUGCAUACUUGGACCAUGAGGUUCCAAGAGGUCUCAACUAGGAAGAGCUAGAUGAUGAUGCAUAUGAUCAGAGACAUCAAGGGCACUAAGAUGUUUGUUGAAUGAAGAACACACAGUCAAACGUCUUUUGUGUAUUCUGUAGGGCAUAAUUUAAAAUGAAUAAAUGGCAUAUGUUAAGUAUGAGAGCACAUUCUUGAAAACAAAUCAUGCAUAAGAGAGAGCACGGUUUGCAAAGCGUUCUUCUCUUAGGCUGUGUGUUAAAGGGAAGAAGAGCCGUCAGGCCAUGCUCGGUAGGUUUUUGCUAUGUCAGGACAUCUGCAGGCUGUCGGGGGACAAGCUGCAGAGCUCAUCUGACUGCUCCAGGUCCCUCUGAGCCUCUGCCUCGGAUAAGAAGGGCUCCUGACCCUGCCGCAAACUAACAUCUUAAAGAAUAUAUCUGUCGACAAACUAGGGAGUUUCUCCAGCCACUGGUCUGUAGACCCAUCUCAUCGCUGGCACCCAGCCCCAGGUCUGUCCUCCACUGCCUGUGUGACUCUUAGGUCCCCAAACAGACUCUCAGUGGGACUCAGGACGGAGACCCAGGAGCAGCACCUCUGCACAGAAGAAGCAGAGGCAGAGGCAGGAGGCCACUCACCGGCUCCCUGCCCACCUCCCCUGACCCAGGAGGGUCCCUCUCUGCUCUCCCUUGUCCUCUAAACACCCUCAGGUGACUGCUGGCUGCCCCAGCCUGGACCCAGGAGGACCCUGAGCAAGCCCAGCUGUCUCCCAGCUCAUCACCUGACCUUUUCCCUCUGACCCAGCUCCCCGGGCUGUCCGUAAAGACACAGACUUCCUCAUCUCUCUGGGUCUUGGCUUCUGAAGACGCCCACCUCACACACAGCUUACCAGGCACACCUUGUCAUUGUGUGUUCAGUCUGUGUUUUGUUCCAGGGGCUUCAGCCCCCGACCUUAUAAAGAGCUUCCCAGACAGACCACAAUCGUGGGCCUCGCUUCUGCUCCGUAUGGCGUCCCUGCGAGCUCCAGUCCUGGGUUGUCACAUGGAGCUGGUGACAUCAGCUUUACUAUGUUAGACAUAAAAGCUUUGCUAAAAGACAAAAAAUAAUAAAGAAGCCGGACUUGGCCGUUGAGCGACCUGUUCUCUCAAACUGUGGCACUGUCCUUUCCCAAGGCCUGGGGAAGAGCGGUCUCCCAGGCCCCGGUGAUCACACCCCAGGUUAUAAUUAUAGUAGUGGCAGUGACAGCCGCAACAGGAGGCGCGAUCAUGUUCACAGAGCAGAUGCACUGUGUCUUCACAUACGUAAUCCCUGACCCCGCCAC